rnacentral:lncRNA from 1 species
UUUGAAUAAUAAAUCAUAAGUCAUUUGAUACACAAACAUGUUUACUUGUAGGCAUUAGUAUUACAUCAAGGCAUUUUACAUGAUUCAACCCAUAAUUCCAUUAAAUUUUAUACUACAUUACAUUAGCAUGUCACUCCAUCAUACUGAACUAAAUUGGAAAGGGAGCUUCAAACUUGCACCCCUAAAUCACCCUACCAUAAUGCAUCCAUUUGCCUUGCCAUAUCCAUUCCACUUCGAGCUUGCAAAUACCAUCUGCAGCAGACCACAAUGCAG